rnacentral:misc_RNA from 1 species
GAGCUGGAUUGCUGUACCAAACCUUAUAAAGGAUGGAUAAAGGCACCACUAGUGAUUAGUACAAUUGUCAAUGUAGAUCCAUAUCAUCACAAAAUAGGCUCACCGUCCUUAUUACUUUUUGCAAUAAACUAAUUAACUGAAAUUCCUGCAGGUAAAAAAUUUCAUCCACAACUCUUGCAGCGUUAACAAGUAAACCCCAUGCCUUCCUGUCUCCAUCUGAUAGGCCAGUCAACUGCCGCACCCCAGCCCAAAUACCUUGUGUGAUUGGGAUGGAAUUGCAAAACUCACCCUGCCUUAUUGCUACUCCUCUGCAUUGAGAGAAACUGAAGCAUAACGACUGAGCUGCCUUUGUAGAGUCAAGCUGCGUGCUACAUUGUUCUCUUUAUACCGUUCCUUAAUUAUGUCAAAGAGUUGACCGUAUUCUCCAGUUACAUCAUAGGGGACAUAAUCAGGAUGUUCUUCAGCAAGUAAGCUUCUAUAAUCCUCAUAGGAAAUAUAUUUGACUGCAGAUACUUCUGUUUCCUGAAGAGUAAACGCCUCUAGAGGAAUUGGAUCUAGAGUUGUCACGAGGUAUACAUCACUAUAUUCAUUAUUGAUAUAUUUGC